UUUGAUAUGUAGUUUAUUGUUUUUAGUGGGUUUAUAUUUUGUUUUAAUGGAAGUAUUUUAUUGUCAUUGUAUAUUUUUUUGGUUUGAUUUUUUUAAUUAUAGUUUACUUUGUACUGUAUAGGUUGAUUUAUUUUGUUUUUUGAAAGUUUAUUUUGUUUGUUGUACCUUGUGUAUCAGGGCUUAUUAAAUUUUAUUAUUUAUUUUUUAUUUCCCGAUUUCAAGUGAGUUAAUUAUUUAUUUUAGUUGCUGUUUUAUAAGCAUUAAUAAUAUUUUAUUGGUGGUGAUAUGCCAUUCGUAUUUGAUGGUAUCUGGUUCCUUGGGAAAUGAAUUUAAUUCAUGUAAUUUAUUUAAAGUUUCUUUUUUUUAGGUUAUUUUUAUUUUUUGCAAAUGUUUCGGGGGUUUAGCUUCGUUUCAUAUUUUUAUAAUUUUUUUGUUUUGUUUAUUUUGGUGGGUUUUAUGUUAACUAUCUUUUUAAGUAUGUUCAAAUUUUAUUUUUAGUUAUUUUUUCUUUAUGUUUUGUUUAAUUUUUUACUGGGGUUUAUUUUUUAAUUGUUUUUUAUUUGUAAUAAUGGUAGGAUUAGUAUAUUCUUUUUUAUUUUGUGUUGUAUUUUUUAUUUCUUUAAAAGGAAUUCGGCAAUUUUUAUAUCCGCCUGUUUAUCAAAAACAACUUCUCUUGUGUUUUUUUGAGGUAUGGCCUGCCCGCUGAUUUUUUUGAAGGGCCGCGGUAUUUUGACCGUGCAAAGGUAGCAUAAUCAUUAGUCUUUUAAUUGUGGGCUGGAAUGAAUGGUUUGACGAGAUAUAAUCUGUCUCUUUUUGAUUUAUUGAAUUUUGGUUUUAGGUAAGAAUACCUAAAUUUUUUUAUGGGACGAGAAGACCCUAUAGAGUUUUAUAUUUGUGAUGAUUUUUUUGUUGGUUUUUUUUAAUAUUGUUUUGUUUAUUUUGCUGGGGCGGCUAGGAGAUUUAUUUAACUCUUCUUUUUUUUGUGUAUUUAUUUAUAUUUUUUUUGAUCCUUUAUUAUUGAUUUUAAGAUUAAAUUACCUUAGGGAUAACAGCGUAAUCUUUCUUGAAAGUUCUUAUUGACAGGGGGGUUUGCGACCUCGAUGUUGGAUUAGGGUGAAUUUUUGGUGUAGAAGCUUUAAUUGAUUAGGUCUGUUCGACCUUUAAAAUCCUACAUGAUCUGAGUUCAGACCGGCGUGAGCCAGGUUGGUUUCUAUCUAUAAUUUGUUUUGUGAGUUAGUACGAAAGGACCACUUUCAAUAAAUAAUUUUGUGUUGUUUGAUUAUUAUUAAUU
rnacentral:rRNA from 1 species